UACGUAGGUGGCGAGCGUUUGUCCGGAUUUACUGGGCGUAAAGAGCGCGCAGGCGGUCGUACAAGUCGCGUGUGAAAGCCCCUGGCUCAACUGGGGAGGGUCACGCGAUACUGUUCGACUCGAAGGCAGGAGAGGGAAGUGGAAUUCCCGGUGUAGUGGUGAAAUGCGUAGAUAUCGGGAGGAACACCAGUGGCGAAGGCGAACUUCCUGGCCUGUUCUUGACGCUGAGGCGCGAAAGCUAGGGUAGCAAACGGGG
rnacentral:rRNA from 1 species